rnacentral:rRNA from 1 species
CUGAUCUCAGAAGCUAAGCAGGGUCGGGCCUGGUUAGUACUUGGGUGGGAGACCACCUUGGAAGACUAGGUGCUGUAGGGA